rnacentral:rRNA from 1 species
GCUCCUACGGGGGGCAGCAGUGAGGAAUAUUGGUCAAUGGACGAGAGUCUGAACCAGCCAAGUAGCGUGAAGGAUGACUGCCCUAUGGGUUGUAAACUUCUUUUAUAAAGGAAUAAAACGAGGCACGUGUGCCUUUUUGCAUGUACUUUAUGAAUAAGGAUCGGCUAACUCCGUGCCAGCAGCCGCGGUAAUACGGAGGAUCCGAGCGUUAUCCGGAUUUAUUGGGUUUAAAGGGAGCGUAGAUGGGUCGUUAAGUCAGUUGUGAAAGUUUGCGGCUCAACCGUAAAAUCACACUUGAUACUGGG